GACGGAGGGUGCAAGCGUUGUUCGGAAUUACUGGGCGUAAAGGGCGCGUAGGCGGUCUGUUAAGUUCGGUGUGAAAGCCCCCGGCUCACCUGGGGAACUGCGCCGGAAACCGACAGACUCGAGUACCGGAGAGGAGGGUGGAAUUCCAGGUGUAGCGGUGAAAUGCGUAGAUAUCAGGAGGAACACCGGUGGCGAAGGCGGCCCUCUGGACGGAUACUGACGCUGAGGCGCGAAAGCGUGGGGAUCAAACAGG
rnacentral:rRNA from 1 species